ensembl:ncRNA T28B11.21 ncRNA
AGCAUUCUUCCGCCUACCCAAACCGAUAAAUCUUCGUUUCCACGACUUUCAAUAGUUUUUACAGAACGAUUUCCAAGUGUUCAAUUCACUUUAGGACAUUCAAAUACAAACUUUCGGCGCGAAACAUGCGGGUGUAGGUCAAACAAUGAAUCAUAUGGCGCCUAUGAUUCAUCGAAUCGGUUUUUCUUCAUACCAAUACUACCACUGUGACGCCGUCCUAAAUAAAAACAUCAACGUCACUUUUUCCCGCAAAGUCAGCACUAUAGCACACAGCGCGCAUACACAAAUAUAU